GGGACUCGGCGGCUUACACAUGCAAGUCGAGGGGUAUAUUUCUUCGGAGAUAGAGACCGGCGCACGGGUGCGUAACGCGUAUGCAAUCUACCUUUUACAGAGGGAUAGCCCAGAGAAAUUUGGAUUAAUACCUCAUAGUAUUAUAGAAUGGCAUCAUUUUAUAAUUAAAGUCACAACGGUAAAAGAUGAGCAUGCGUCCCAUUAGCUAGUUGGUAAGGUAACGGCUUACCAAGGCUACGAUGGGUAGGGGUCCUGAGAGGGAGAUCCCCCACACUGGUACUGAGACACGGACCAGACUCCUACGGGAGGCAGCAGUGAGGAAUAUUGGACAAUGGGCGCAAGCCUGAUCCAGCCAUGCCGCGUGCAGGAUGACGGUCCUAUGGAUUGUAAACUGCUUUUAUACGAGAAGAAACACUCCUACGUGUCGGAGCUUGACGGUAUCGUAAGAAUAAGGAUCGGCUAACUCCGUGCCAGCAGCCGCGGUAAUACGGAGGAUCCAAGCGUUAUCCGGAAUCAUUGGGUUUAAAGGGUCCGUAGGCGGUUUAAUAAGUCAGUGGUGAAAGCCCAUCGCUCAACGGUGGAACGGCCAUUGAUACUGUUAGACUUGAAUUAUUAGGAAGUAACUAGAAUAUGUAGUGUAGCGGUGAAAUGCUUAGAGAUUACAUGGAAUACCAAUUGCGAAGGCAGGUUACUACUAAUGGAUUGACGCUGAUGGACGAAAGCGUGGGUAGCGAACAGGAUUAGAUACCCUGGUAGUCCACGCCGUAAACGAUGGAUACUAGCUGUUGGAAGCAAUUUCAGUGGCUAAGCGAAAGUGAUAAGUAUCCCACCUGGGGAGUACGUUCGCAAGAAUGAAACUCAAAGGAAUUGACGGGGGCCCGCACAAGCGGUGGAGCAUGUGGUUUAAUUCGAUGAUACGCGAGGAACCUUACCAAGGCUUAAAUGUAGAUUGACCGGUUUGGAAACAGAUCUUUCGCAGACAAUUUACAAGUGCUGCAUGGUUGUCGUCAGCUCGUGCCGUGAGGUGUCAGUUAAGUCCUAUACGAGCGCAACCCCUGUGUAGUUGCCAGCGAGUCAUGUCGGGAACUC
rnacentral:rRNA from 1 species